UACGGAAGGUCCGGGCGUUAUCCGGAAUUAUUGGGUUUAAAGGGAGCGCAGGCGGGAGUAUAAGUCAGCUGUUAAAUAUCAGAGCCCAACUCUGUUAUGCAGUUGAAACUAUAUUUCUUGAGUACGCACAGGGAUGGCGGAAUUCAGGGUGUAGCGGUGAAAUGCUUAGAUAUCCUGAAGAACUCCGAUCGCGAAGGCAGCCAUCCGGAGCGUAACUGACGCUGAGGCUCGAAGGUGCGGGUAUCGAACAGG
rnacentral:rRNA from 1 species